AGAUAUACAUAACUCAGAAAUAUAAAAUGAAAAUCAAAGUAUCUUAACAUAAAUCCCAUAAACAUGUAGGUCAAAAAGACAAACACUAUUAAAAUUCAAACUAUGGACUGUGGUAGUUCAGAAAAUCAGACAAAGUACUAAUGAAACGUAAACUUCUGUCUUUCAGUUGGUCUUCAAGUCAUCAAGCAUCUGAUCCAUUCAUCACUCAUCCUACUCAAUUGAAAGACCAGAUCUGGAAAACAAUCACUGUCGCUUAUAAGUUCGACUUCAACCUAUAUAAGUAAUAAGAUAACCAUUAAAAAUACUAAGUUACAAGGCCAACCUCAAACUAGUCAUCAAGGUUUAUAGUUGGUUCUAUCUCAUCUUCAUCUCAUUUGACUUGUAGAUUUGUACCACCUCCAUCAGUUACAACUUAAUUCAAACCUAGAGUUAGUGUUGCUUCAACGUCGAGAUGGUGAAAAAAGAACCAAACUAAAUCUGAAAUAAACCUUGGUUGUCUUCCACCGUGGCAUC
rnacentral:lncRNA from 1 species